AGAACAACUGAGUCUUGACAAGUUGAGUGAAAUCAAGUCACUGAUGCCAUGAUCUAUCAUGCAUUUGAGAAACUUCCAACCUGUGGAAGAAUUUGUCAGAACUGUACAGUCUUUUACUCUUACUCCUUUGCUUUUCUUCUCCAGCUUGUCUGACCUGUAUUACCAACCCCCAAAAAAGACACAGAAAUAAUUUUGUGCAAGCAUUUAGAAGAAUAUCUUCUUAUCCCCAGGGAGUGGUUGAACUGCCAAGACCAUGUGUUACAAAGCCCCAGUUCUCUACUUCAGAUGAAGAAUGCCUCCUCUGACAAAAUAAUUUUAAAAUGUAACCAGUUCUUAUGCAGAAGCUGUAAUUUAAUAUAUUUCUAUAAUAUCUAGUUCAGAAGGUAACAGUACAAGACCCCAAAACAGUGUUUUGCCUCCGAGCUGGCUCUGUGUUCAGAAGACCAAUUCAAUACGUAACUCCUGUUCUCUGCAUGAACCUGAGUGUUUGUCCAGGGACUCCUUGGGCCAUGUCUCAUCAUACUGCAAAAUGAAUUGUUCCCUUUCUACCCAUCGUUGAUCAUCCAAGCGAUAAGAGCUUCACAACUUAUACUAGGAGAACUGCUUUUGGUAGUACCUUAAAUCUACCUCAGGUAGGUUCUCUUAUUCUCUUAUGUUCACUCAGGCUCAUGGAGGAAAUAAUGACUUUCCAUUUUAGAGAAGACUGGAAGGUAAGUCCUUAAGCUCACCAAAGUAUGUUUGAUUACUUCUCUUAAUAGGAUGAAGAAAUAAUUUCUUCACCUGGAAGGUUUUAGACUUCACAGUAGACAAUUUCUGCUUUUAAAGAAAGAGGUUUUACUGUUCCACCAGCAAAAUUUGAAACAUAAUCUGAGUAUGCUUUCUCUCUCUUUGUGUGUGUGUGUGUGUGUGUCUGCAGUCAGUAACUUCUCUUUUUCAUUUUCAUACAAGAUACUAUCGCAAUGUGUAUGUUGUUAUGUAGUGUACUACCAUAUGCUAUGAGAUCUUUUGCAAGGCAGGUGCCAACCUUACCCCCAGGCAGAAGAUAAUAUUUCAAGCCUCAACAACUUGCCAUAACCACUGUGCUAACCACGGUGCACAUUCACUGUCUACCUAAUCAAAUUCUUGCUAUACAUCACAUUAAUGCUGUGCAGUAGUUACCACAGGUCUUGGGUUUAGAGGAAUAUGUUUUCUUAAGAUUAGAAAAAAGUAUGAACUUGACAGAAAGAGUCCAUCUGUUCAAAGGUUAUGCAGUGCCCACUGAGAUUAUUAGUGAAGGUUGCCAUCUACUCUGAAUCCAGGCUGGCAUAGCAGUUAUGUUGGUAUGAAGUUGUGAAAGACUGUUGAGUUUGUUUUUAUCACAAAUGUUCUCCAUAACUCUCUUCAAUAACUCUUCAAAGCUGUUUUUUCAAGGUGAAUACAGAAUAAGUAUCAUUUGACUGUAUCGCAUAGUUGUCAUUGAAGAGUAGAAACACCAUAUCCAAGGGGUUUUUAGUUCUGCAAAAAGCAUACACAGGGAUCUGCAUGAGAAGAAGUGGAAGCUUUCCAAAAAAUCUGUCACAGGCCAAGGAUCAGGAUGAUGGGGGAAACUGAACUUUCCUCUUGGCCAGAUCCCACCAACAGCAUCAACGUUGGAAACCCAGGAGUACAGCGUUGGAAAAGAGGGAUUAAUUCCUCUGAGUUAACAUCUAAGAUGAAGGAACUGCCAGACUUUGUGUCUCCAACCAUUUUACAUCUAUCCAGAAUUCACAAGAAAUGAUUAUCAUCGAUGAGUUAAGAAACAACAACAACAACAAAAACAGAACUGAAGGAAAUCAUUAGCAAUGGCUCCUAGAAAUCACCAGAUAAGGAGUUUCAUAUCCUCUGUAUGGCAUAUCUUCAGAUUGUAGCACAUCAGUAGCAUGGAUCUCAACCAAAGAAAGAUCAGACAUUUGUGAGUGAAUGGAAAAUGAAGGACAGAGCUGCAGAGAACAUUUUGCUCUUCUACAGCAUUUGGCUGCGAUGUUGGUCAGGGACGUUAUAGCUCCUCCAUGUGUUUUUACCCCAUCAGAAGUUCUCGUUUCCAGAAAUUUCUUGAAGAUACGCAUAACUCAUAAAGUAGAGUGCAGCUUUGGAAGAAUGAGUUGACACAGACAAGGUAGCAUUCAAAAACUACAACUGAAUUAUACUGCUGCUGGAGAAAUGUGAGCCAAAAAGAAUUCAUCUUGAUAUUCCGAUCAUAAGCAGUGAAUGCAGAGUUUGCUGGUAAUGGGCCUCCUUGAAAGCUGAAAAGGGCCAUGCUGAGAAUGCAGGGAAAGCGAUACUGAAGACAAGGAUGUUUGUGGGACAAGAAGCAAGGCAUACCAUAAUAUUACUCCCAUUCUCCUUGGACCACCGAUUUCAAGGAUGUUCGAAGCAAGAUACAGCUGCCUCUCCGCAGUCUGUUCUACAGGCAUUUAGAAGAAAUGGAAAGAAGGAAUACCCCUGAGGUGGAGGUCAUCCCUGCUAGAUCACAUUUGCCUGCUCUGAUUCACUCUCAGGAGGAGCACUGCAAAGAGAAGGUACCUCUUCAUACAGAUCUUGCUGGAUACAACUGGAUCAAUUGAACUUAUGUGAGAGAGAGGUACAAAGGAAGUAAAUGCAGAUACCCAGCCAAAGCCAAAGGAACUAAAGCUCACUGUAUCAUUAGGAGGAUGAAUCCCUCCUGUUGCUUUAUUUCUUUUCCAUUUGUUUGUUUUUUCUUUUUGUCUUUUUUGUUUGUUUUUGUCUUUUCUCUUUUUGGUAACUAAAAUCCAGAUCUACUAGGACACAUUUUGAAGAAAAAAAUGUUGGAAUGAUGGGGAAUAUAUCCAUCAACAAGAUGAGGAAAAUAGGAUCAAAGCCCAGGAAAGAGGAAGUCAGCUGGGAGGACUGUGCAGGUUAAUGUAGAGAUAAAGCAAAUCUUCUGAACGUUUGCCCCUAGCUGGAGCCCUGAGAGACAGGAGAGUAUACAUGCAUUAGACAUCUACUCUACCCGGCUGAUUUCAGGCAAUGAUUUGGAACAGAAGAUAUGAAGAUAUGAGCUCUGCCCUGCUUGGCUUGACACAGAAAAGAGAUUUUCUGUUGAUAUCACUGUUGGGUAGAACUGGUGCUUGACGUUUUCAUUAAAAUAACAGAUACAGCUCUACUUGCUGCUGUAGCUGCAAACUCCCUUGUUUAUAUUGCCUCUGUUUUACUUUCAGGGCAGGAACAUCCCCUUGGUCCUCAGACUGUUUAGAUUCAGGGAAGCAGUGAAUGUCAGUGUGUGUGUAUGUAUUCAGUUCCCUCUCUGUACAUUUAGAAAUUGUAAAGGGAAAUUUAUUGUGAAGAGGGAAAAAAUAUAGGACUGGUUUCUGUCCCUGUGCUAAUAUCAUGGUAUUAACAUAGGUGAAUUGCUGCUGGUUGAUAUGAGCCUGGCUUCCAAGAGGACAUUCUUGUAGCACCUUGAUUGCCUGGGCCACCCCUCCAAGGAGGCUCAGCAGGCAGCCUCAGCCUUUCUUGUUUGCUGUUUUGUUGUUUCAGUUCUCAGCUGGAGAUUAUUUCUUCUUUCUGUCUCCUCUUGAUACAUGAAUGUGCUGUGUCAGGCUUGCCUUCAGGUCAGUGUCCUGUGCAGGCCUCGCCAUGGUGUCAGCAGUAAGCAGAUCUGAGAAGGCCAAAGGCAGGGCAUCAAUGGAAAAUGAGCCUAACAAAUGGGAAGUCAGGCUGGAUGGCCAGCCAUAAUGUCUUUCCUCUCACGAAACAUGACAGAAAGGCACAACAGAAAAGGCUGCUUUUCCUUAUCUUUAGCCUUUCACCUGGGUUUGUUUUUUCCUCUGUCCUAAUGGUUCCUUGUCAGCUUUUUCUGUGUCCUGACUUCCUUUCCCCUGAGCCUCUCUUGAGAGGCAGAGGAACAGGGUCUGAGCAAGGCAACAGUGGGCAACAAGCUAUAAAUUUGACAGAUUAUGAACGUGCUUCAGUGUGCUGUGUAACCUGUAAAUCAAAACCCAUUUUAAGACCAGCAAUGAAUCCCUGUAUAUCAAAAAGCAGGAGAUGUUAGAAUAGGCAGUUGCUGCCUCUUACAAUAGCUCCUCCAGAAACACAUUGUGCAGAGGGUCUUGUAUUCAUCAUUAAAAUUGUUUUCUUUCUUCCAUUAGCUGCUAUGCAGCAUGUAUGUAUUAGAAGUCAUGGCUAGUAUGACUUCAUUGAUAAAGCUCCAUUGUAUCCAACAUGAAAAGAGAAUAAAAGAGGUAAUAUUCUCUGGCAUAUCAUGUGGACUCUCUUUUUACAGCAUGGACUUCAAGGGACAGAAAUGUCUCUCGUUAGGUUUUCUUCUCUGCUAC
ensembl:lncRNA